AUACUGGAGAGAAACCCUAUGAAUGUAAUGCAUGUGGGAAACUCUUUAGCCAGAGGUCAUCCCUUACUAAUCAUUAUAAAAUUCACAUUGAAGAGGACUCCUUAAAAGCCGAUUUGCAUGUGUGAAAGCCUUAAACCAAAACUCAUCAGAGAAUACAUGCUUGAGAGUGAUUUAUUAAAUAUAAUGAAUAUGAGAAAACUCUUAGUUCUUAUCAGAUACUAAGUUUUAAGAAUAAACUUUAGCUGUGUAAUAACUAUGGGGAAAGCUUUUAUAGUUGUCACUCACUUUUUAAAAUACCUGAGACAGUUCACUGUUGCAGACAUUGAAAUUGGCCAUUUGUAAGAUAAAAGAAUACAAAUGGAGAGAUUUGCAUGGGAUGCAGAAAUAUGGAAGACUAACCAAGCAAACCAGGAGAGACCAGCAAUAGUGUCCCAGAGACCAUGAUGUCUGAGCCCAGUUUUGGAAGAAUACUUUCUUUCCAGGCUGGGCAUGGUGGCUCACACCUGUAAUCCCAGCACUUUGGGAGGCCAAGACAAGAGGAUUGCUUGAGCCCAGGAGUUCGAGACCAGCCUGAGCAACAACAACAACAACAAAAUUAGCCAGGCAUAGUGGUGCACAUCUGUAGUCCCAGCUACUUGGGAGGCUGAGGUAAGAGAAUUGCUUGAGCUCAGGAGGUUGAGGCUGCAGUGAGCUGUGAUCCCACCACUGCACUCCAGCUUGGGGAGAGAGCAAGACUCUGCCUCCUCCACAUGCGCCCCCCACCCCUGCCCCUGCCAAAAAAUUGUUUGUGGAUCCCUGUUAUCAGAAUAAGGACAUUCCCUCAUAUUCCUAGUGUGAUGUGAGUUUUUAUCAUAAAAGGGAGUAGUAUUUUGUCAUGUCCAUUUUCUGCAUUGGUUGAAAUGAUCAUUUUGUUUUUCUCUUCAUUCUUUUAAUAGAUAAUUGUUUGAAUUUUGGUGUUAACCAGUGUUUCAUUCCUGAAGU
rnacentral:sRNA from 1 species